AAUGUGUGAGGUGGUGCUAUGUAGCAGGAACCCCUCUUGCUUUGCAAAUAGUUUUUUGUUUGUUUUCCUUUUUGCCCAAUAGAGCCCUGCUCUACUGACCCUUCAAUGUGCCCGUGUGCCUAAAUAUUCCUGGUCGUGUGAAAAGAACCCAGCAGUCAAGCUCAACUUGCAGAACUGAUGGGAACCCCUUGGGAAAACUGGCCUCAAAUGUUUGUCUACACAGUCCACAUACAGGGUUCUUAACCUGCGGAAACACUUUCUGAAAAUGUCAGAACUCUUGAAAACAUGGAUGAGGAAAAGCAUAAGUACUGCUUUAUGCUUUUCUUAUGAAUUUUAAAAGAUGUAAUUUAAAGAUUGAAACUCCCACAACUUUGGCAGACCAACUCCUCAGAAAACAUUAUUCUUUGACAUCAAUAUGUUUUGCACAAAAUUGAAUGGCAAGUGAAAGGCAUCAAAUGAUGGAGUCUUGUUCUGUGGUCCAGGCUAGAGGGCAGUGGCAUGAUCUCGGCUCACUACAAGCUCUGCCUCCCGGGUUCACGCCAUUCUCCUGCCUCAGCCUCCUGAGUAGCUGGGACUACAGGCGCCCGCCACCACGCCUGGCUAAUUUUUUGUAUAUUUACUAGAGAUGGCUAGUGUUAGCCAAGAUGGUCUCGAUCUCCUGACCUCGUGAUCUGCCCACCUCAGCCUGCCAAAGUGCUGGGAUUACUGGCGUGAGCCACCGUGCCUGGCCAGCAUCCUCUAAUUAUUAUUCAUAGUUUGUGAAUUUAGGCCUACGUGAAUAAUAAUAUAAUAUUUACUAUGAUGUUACUAUCUACCAACCUUAUUUUUCUUUUCUAUAAAAUAGGAGCCAAAAUAAUAUUUAUGUCAUACCUUAUGAAGUUAAAAUAAAAUAUAACGAAUGAGGG
rnacentral:lncRNA from 1 species